CCUACGGGAGGCAGCAGUGGGGAAUAUUGCGCAAUGGGCGAAAGCCUGACGCAGCGACGCCGCGUGAGGGAUGAAGGUCUUCGGAUCGGAAAACUCUGUCAGCAGGGAAGAACGGUCACUGUGCUAAUCAGCAGUGAAUUGACGGUACCUGCAAAGGAAGCACCGGCUAACUCCGUCCAAGCAGCCGCGGUAAUACGGAGGGUGCGAGCGUUAAUCGGAAUUGCUGGGCGUAAAGGGCUCGUAGGCGGUAUGUCAAGUCAAGGGUGAAAUCCCCGCGCUCAACGUGGGAAUUGCCUUUGAAACUGGCAAACUGGAGUGUGUGAGAGGCUAGUGGAAUUCCAGGUGUAGGAGUGAAAUCCGUAGAUAUCUGGAGGAACAUCAGUGGCGAAGGCGACUAUCUGGCACAUAACUGACGCUGAGGAGCGAAAGCGUGGGUAGCAAACAGGAUUAGAUACCCGAGUAGUC
rnacentral:rRNA from 1 species